UCCUUGGCCUGGAUUUAAAAGCACUUAGGAAUGCCUAUGGAUGUGGAAAGCCUUUGAAUUUCAUUUCUCGCUUUCUCUCUUAUGAGAGCUGUGGAGGUUCUUACAGAUGUUUCAUUCAGCUGGAUAAACAUUAAUACUAAGGGGAAGCUCUGUCUCUGGCAUAGGACUUUCAAGAUACAGCCUCAGUGUGCAAAUAAGCAUACUGACAAAAGAGAAAUCCAAGGACUGAAGAAAGAAACAAGUUUACUAGAUACGCUUUGUAGCCCAAGUUUCCUGAGAAAGCAAGUUUUUAUCCUACAGGACCAGCUAUUAGCGAGUGAUAAGUUAAAGACAACACCAACCAAAGGUCAGGAGUAUAUUCUCCUAGAGCUAUUUCAUAUCCAAUCCAGAGAUUUACUCUUGCUCCAUUUACUCGGAGGAAUUAAAAGCAAGUGAAGGUAGGGUUAUGCACACCUGAUAACAUCAGGAACACACCUGAAAAUGGAGUGGUGAAUGAGUACUUCUGGCCUGAUUGACCUCAGCCAGCUGGGUAUUGACCUGUUUUAGCUGAAAUAAACCUGAAAAGAAGCACUCUAAGCA
rnacentral:lncRNA from 1 species